rfam:Cariama cristata contig286, whole genome shotgun sequence.
ACACAGGCUUCUUUUGGAGCCACCAAUUCAUAGCAGGAGCCUAACU